UCUCUGGGGAGGACCAGUGUAGACACUCAGGAGGCUCCUAAAAUAUUUUCUCUGCUGUGAAUGCUAUUUCUCCUGCCUGCGCUUAAAUGCGCGGUUGGUGGGUGUUCUGCAG
rnacentral:misc_RNA from 1 species